UCUCCGUUGGUGAACCAGCGGAGGGAUCAUUACCGAGUUUACAACUCCCAAACCCAUGUGAACAUUACCUCUAUGUUGCUUCGGCGGAGCCGCCCCGGCGCCCGGAACCCCCUGCGGUCCCGCGGCCCGGAACCAAGGCGCCCGCCGGAGGCCACAAACUCUUCUGUUUUUACAGUUUCUUCUGAGUGUGCCGCAAGGCAGUAUACAAAUGAAUCAAAACUUUCAACAACGGAUCUCUUGGUUCUG
rnacentral:misc_RNA from 1 species